rnacentral:rRNA from 1 species
GGCGGACGGGUGAGUAACGCGUGGGGAACCUGCCCUGUACCGGGGGAUAGCAGCCGGAAACGGCUGAUAAUACCGCAUAAGCGCACGAAUGUCGCAUGACAUGGUGUGAAAAACUCCGGUGGUAUAGGAUGGACCCGCGUCUGAUUAGCCGGUUGGUGGGGUAAAAGCCUACCAAAGCGAAGAUCAGUAGCCGAGUUGAGAGACUGACCGGCCACAUUGGGACUGAGACACGGCCCAGACUCCUACGGGAGGCAGCAGGG